UACGGGGGGGGCAAGCGUUGUUCGGAAUUACUGGGUGUAAAGGGCUCGUAGGCGGCCAACUAAGUCAGACGUGAAAUCCCUCGGCUUAACCGGGGAACUGCGUCUGAUACUGGAUGGCUUGAGUUUGGGAGAGGGAUGCGGAAUUCCAGGUGUAGCGGUGGAAUGCGCAGAUAUCAGGAGGAACACCGGUGGCGAAGGCGGGUCUCUGGGCCGUAACUGACGCUGAGGAGCGAAAGCGUGGGGAGCGAACAGG
rnacentral:rRNA from 1 species